AUUGAACGCUGGCGGCAGGCCUAACACAUGCAAGUCGAGCGAGCGGCGGACGGGUGAGUAAUGUAUGGGGACUGCCCGUUAGAGGGGGAUAACUACUGGAAACGGUAGCUAAUACCGCAUACUAUCGGAUAACCCAUAGGGGAUUAGCUAGUAGGUGAGGUAAUGGCUAACCUAGGCGACGAUCCCUACCGGGUCUGAGAGGAUGAUCAGCAAAAAUGGGACGGAGACACGGCACAGAAUACUACGGAGGAAGCAGUGGGGAAGAUUGGACAAUGGGCGAAAGCCUGAUGCAGACAUGCCGCGUGUAUGAAGAAGGCCGUAGGGUAGUAAAGUACUUUCAGUCGGGAGGCGUUACCGACAGAAGAAGCACCGGCUAACUCCGUGCCAGCAGCCGCGGUAAUAC
rnacentral:rRNA from 1 species